AUUGAACGCUGGCGGCCGGCUUAACACAUGCAAGUCGAGCGGGGGAGGUUGCUUCGGUGACUGACCUAGCGGCGGACGGGUGAGUAAUGCUUAGGAAUCUGCCUAUUAGUGGGGGACCACAUUCCGAAAGGAAUGCUAAUACCGCAUACGUCCUACGGGGGAACGCAGGGGAUCUUCGGACCUUGCGCUAAUCGAUGAGCCUAAGUCGGAUUAGCUAGUUGGUGGGGUAAAGGACUACCAAGGCGACGAUCUGUAGCGGGUCUGAGAGGAUGAUCCGCCACACUGGGACUGAGACACGGCCCAGACUCCUACGGGAGGCAGCAGUGGGGAAUAUUGGACAAUGGGGGGAACCCUGAUCCAGCCAUGCCGCGUGUGUGAAGAAGGCCUUUUGGUUGUAAAGCACUUUAAGCGAGGAGGAGGCUCCUUUAGUUAAUACCUAAAGAGAGUGGACGUUACUCGCAGAAUAAGCACCGGCUAACUCUGUGCCAGCCGCCGCCGUAA
rnacentral:rRNA from 1 species